rnacentral:rRNA from 1 species
CCAAUAGCGUAUAUUAAAGUUGUUGCAGUUAAAAAGCUCGUAGUUGAAUUUCGGGACCAAUAUGUCGGUCGUGCUUCGGUACGUACUUGCAUUAUUGGUUUCUCCCUUCUGAAGAACCAUGAUGUCAUUAAUUUGAUGUCUUGGGGAAUCAGGACUGUUACUUUGAAAAAAUUAGAGUGUUUAAAGCAGGCUCACGCUUGAAUACAUUAGCAUGGAAUAAUGAAAUAGGACGUUUGAUUCUAUUUUGUUGGUUUCUAGGAUCGACGUAAUGAUUAAUAGGGAUAGUUGGGGGCAUUAGUAUUCAAUUGUCAGAGGUGAAAUUCUUGGAUUUAUUGAAGACUAGCUACUGCGAAAGCAUUUGCCAAGGAUGUUUUCAUUAAUCAAGAACGAAAGUUAGGGGAUCGAAGACGAUCAGAUACCGUCGUAGUCUUAACCAUAAACUAUGCCGACUAGGGAUCGGAUGAUGUUAUUUUUGAUGACUCAUUCGGCGCCUUACG